rnacentral:rRNA from 14 species
GUCUAUAGCCAGACCACCCUGACCAUGCUCGAUCUUGUCUGAUCUUGGAAGCUGAGCAAGGUUGGACCUGGUCAGUACCUGGAUGGAGUUGAGAUGGCCCCAGGAAGGACC